AAACAAAGCCUCAAACGAAACAUUUUUAUUCUAUAUUUUCGACUUCUUUUUUCGCGUGGAAUCACCCCCUUUCCGCUUGUACCAUCAGUUACCAACCACCCUGUAUAUAUGUACACGAUCAACGUUAAAAUGGAAAAGUAUUACUACGAAAUAUAAUGGUACGAAUAUAAACGUGUAACAAAAAUGAUAUGAAAUUGGCUACGUAAAUAAUUUGUAUCGUUAAUCGUUCAAAAUUCGAGUUUGUAUCUUUGUAUCUUUUUCUACGUGGACUAUCUGUAUUACUCGACUGAACAUCUAAUAUCUUGCAAAAUAAAAAUAUGAUUGUACAAUAAUAUAAUACAACUAUGAUUAGGUAUUCAAUUUUAGCAUAUCAUCUACAUAAAGAUUACAUAUUGUUACAUCAUUAUAACCAUUCAUAUCCUAUUCAACACUUUUAAAUUUUGCAUUCCAGCAAAGCUACAAACAUCCUACUGCGAUCGAUAACUCAUUUCGUUCGUAGCCGGUGGUAACUUUGUUUAAUCUGAAAACUGGCGACGUUUACAAUUGAAAAGUUUCCUGAGAAAGAGCAAGGCUGCGAUGAAUAUAUACACUCGUUACGUAAUUUUAAUUUACUUUAUAAAUACUCUAAAAAAGGCGAGAUUUUUUAACAGCCAUUAUAAUUAUCCAUCGAAACGUAUCUAAUAUUUCAAAACUAGUGCUAAAAUUUUUAACGCAAUUUACUCGAUUCCCUACAAUUUACGACACGAGUUAUUUUUCCAGAGAGCUCGUCCAUUGGAUAAAUCUCAACCAGAUAACGAUAGAAGACAAUCGUAAUUGUCCGACGCGACGGUGUGUAACGGAAAGCGGGCGAAUCUCGAAAAUGCGAAGAAGUCAGAGAAGGAAGACGAAGAAGAGGCUAGCUUGGGAUAGAGAGAACAGACAUCCACUCGAUCGGAGGCGACUCUAAUUACCAUUGGGGGGCUAUAGCGGCAGCGUAAUAAUGCAAUCUGUACCGAGAGGUGCAGGGUACGAGAAGGAACGAGAGAGGACAGAGGUGGGACGGAGAAAGGUGCAGAGACGGGUAGGGCUCGGUACAAGCCUCGGAUAAUGAGUUUGCGAGAGCAGCAAUGGGCCUAGCAACUUCUGAUUCUCCGCCGGCAUAAGCUUCCAACAGCCUCGAUCAACCGGUCUUCCGCUCCUUUAGUCCGCGUCAAUGCCGAUAAUUAGUCAUAGCGUGGUUUACGAGCCGCGCCGGCUAAUUCGUCGGAGACACCUGCGCGUUCGAUUUUUACUGCUCCAGAUUUUACUUAAAGCCACGUCGCUGUUCUAAGAACAGCGUGGAAAAGAAUUCCAGCUACCAUCCAUGUACAGAGGCGAGAUUACUCGAGUCGAUAGAACGAGGUUACAAAUGAGUACAACAACUUAAUUUAACCUAACCGGAGCGCAUACCGUCAGUAAAGAUUUGAUUGGUUUUAAGCGUUUCCGUAAACUUUGAUAAAUCGUCGUACGUUUAAUUGGCAGUAGUCGAGUUUCGAUGGAUUUCAUCUGCAAAGUGUAUCUUGUUAAAAUAAUUCGAUAUGAUUGAUCGAUAUUUCGUUGCUAACGUUUUCGCUUUGGUUCGAAGAAAAUUCGAGCGCGUAUCCCUUGUGUAUGCAACAAUAGUUUGAAUUAAUAAAGGACUUUAAUAGUAAUUUAAUGAUAGCGAAAUUCUCGUAAAUAAAUUAUCGAAUAUCGUGAGAUUUAACUUCGAUAAUAAAGUUACAAUCCAGGCGACACUGAUAAUGCAUAAAUUCGGCGAUUACUACGUAUUAAAUAAUUCAAGGAUUGAGUAUUACAAAGGAUACUAUAUCAUUCCAUACGAUAUUUGUUUGUAUAAUAUAUAUUGCAGAUUGUAUCUCUUCGGUACAUAUAUGCAUGCAACUAAUUAUACCGAAUAAAAAGUUCGCACGUAAUGCAUUUAUUAAUUAAAGCAAUUAUUAAUUAAUUAAAGAACGACAUAGAUAAAUACGACUAUCAAGGAGCAAUAAAAUAGUGCAAUCUCGAUGCAAGAAAAAAAUGGCAUCGCACGUUUGAUUAUUUUUCAAUCUUAAUAAUUUAAUAUAGAUACAAGAUACUUAUUCAAAUUA